rnacentral:lncRNA from 1 species
UCGUAGUAAAUUAGAAAUUAUUAGGUAGGGUGACUCACUAGUUCCUUAAUAGAUUUAGUGAGACAAACUAGUUCCUUGAUAGAUUUAGUGAGACAAACUAGUUCCUUAAUAGAUUUAGUGAGACAAACUAGUUGUUGGUAGAGGGUUGAAUAGUUGGAGCGAAAGUUAAAUCACGAAAUCCAUUGUAGAUUUUUGGUUAAGCUUUUGAUCUCUACAGCAGCUGGCGCGGGUUCGAGAUUUGUCAACCUACCCUCUUGUUUUUAUCUUUUAAUUUUUACAUCCAUCAUCUCAGCUUACAGAACGACAUACCUUUGGGUACAUGUUGCUGAUGUCAUUGAUGACAUCAUCACCUUCCUUCUUUGCUCCCCCAAUCUCCAUACGCGUUUUUCCUUCCCCAUCUCCUUGAUAGAAAUUUCCUUUUCUAUCUCCGAUCACCCAUCGCAGAGCCAGCUCGCAUUUCCAUUUCCGAAUCCAUAAUCAACGACUCAUUCUCCAACAUGAACCCAGAGAUUUGGGGAAUAAAUCCCCUAAGGUUGGAUUGGACGUGAGGGCGGGGGAGACCCAUCUACUUCUGUCUUGCGGUGUCGGUUCCGAAGGAUGAAAAGAAAUACGAUCGCCAAAUCGAAGGAGGACUCGACGAAAGAGCUCAUACGGGAAAGAUCUGCGGCGGAAGACUGGUUACCGACGUCAACUCUGGACGUGGAGGAAGGAGGAGAAGGCAGCGACACCCUCUGGAGAUUGGAGAGAAGGCUCGCCGGAAAAUCGAAGGAUUUGAAGUCCCGGCGGCGCGCGGGUGCGUGUGACGGAUGCAGGCGACGGUGGCGACCUCCCCACGGUCGAUGACGAAGAUGAUGGAGCCUAGCGGUGGAAAGAUCGACGAAUUCCAAGAUGUUAGGAGCGCACCGGAUUCUGGAAAGGGGCUCGCCGGCGGUAACUGGUCUUGCCAGAGCUAGAGGUUGAUGACGACUGACCAAAGCACAAGUCCUAUACAUCUGCAGGACCAAACUGCAAGUUCUAGAGAGCCCAGAGACCUAUUUGCAGCCUGGAAAAUUAUAUAAGUGAGCUGACUGUAACUUCUAUAAAUUUAGAGGACUGUCUCUGUAAGUUUUCAAAUUCGUCAGUAAACUGACAUUUGUGCCCCUCUAAGUUUCAGCAGUUUGCAAACUAGUAAGCGAGGCAUAACUCGACCGUUUGACCUCCAAACGACCCAAACGACGCACCGUCGUAAGCUACGGUUUCGUGGAAGUAAGGGGAAUCGCCUCGAAUUUUAUUCUGACAUUUCAUAUCGUAAAUGAGGUGGGCUGGUUUAAAGGGGAUAAAUUCUUUACGUUGCGGUAGUUAGGUUACAUGAUAUGUGCUAUGUGAUGUGUUAAUUGAAUUACGUGAUUGGUACGUAGUUAUUUAUGUGUUGCUACAUUUGUGUUGCAAAUUCAUGUGCCCUUAGAAUAGCACUACUCAGUAUACGGAUAAUAAUUAAGAAAAUGAACAAUAAGAUGAUGAGAAAGAUGUACCUCACUAGCUAGGCCCUAUCGUCACUAGUUAUCGACUUAGAUGUUUAGGGUUCGAGUCCCUAUGUUUAAUGGCUGGUUGGAUACGUGCUCCACAAUGUUUUCGUGGGUUCGAGUCCCUGAGUUAUUAUUACCGUUGGUUCGAGUCCCCGAAUUAUUACUUACGUGGGUUCGAGUCCCCGUGAUCUUAUUGGGUUCAAGUCCAAUUGAUGUGUAAGUCGACAAUGGGCAGUUGGGAUAGCUUGAUGAGUUAGGGGGCGCCUAGAUGAAAGUUGAUAUCCUAAGAUUGAAAUGAUCACGGAAGUUCAAGGAACCGAGUGAAGGUUUUAUUUGACGUUGAUGAAUUAAUGUCCUCAUGAUUAUGACAUGCAUUUAUGUUGUUAUUGUUACUUAAUAAUGUGUGUUAAGUCCCAUUGUUUUUGGAACUAUCUUUUAAUGUUUGAGCACGAAAGACUGACCCCGAACAACCCACCAGGGUGUUUGAAAGUUGUUGCAGGAGCAGAGUGGAGCUGAUUUAAGAGGUGGCAAACGCAGACUUGGAAUUUGAAAAGAGUUUUCAAAGUUAUUUAUUGAGACUUGAUUUUGAAUGCUGGUUGCCCACGUGUUAGGAAUUUCUGUCGGUUAAUAAGUUUAUUUCAUUUAAAAAUUUCUAUUUUAUUCCUUUUUUGUUUCAAAGUUUCCUGGUCGGGCCAUUUUUGUCAUUUAAUAAAUCGUAAAAAAUGAGGGUGUUACAGUCCGC